GAUGAACGCUGGCGGCGUGCUUAACACAUGCCAGUCGAACGAGAAGUGAAGACGGAAACCUUCGGGCGGAAGGCUUUAUUUCGAGUGGCGGACGGGUGAGUAACUCGUGGGUAACCUGCCUCAUACAGGGGGAUAACAGUUGGAAACGACUGUUAAUACCGCAUAAGACCACAGCACCGCAUGGUGCGGGGGUAAAAACUCCGGUGGUAUGAGAUGGACCCGCGUUCGAUUAGCCAGUUGGCGGGGUAACGGCCCACCAAAGCGACGAUCGAUAGCCGAUCUGAGAGGAUGGCCGGACACAGUGGCACUGAGACACGGCCGAAAAUCCUACGGGAGGCAGCAGUGGGGAAUAGUGCAAAAUGGCGGAAACCCUGAUGCAGCGCCGACGCGUGAGUGAAGAAGUAUGUCGGUAUGUAAAGCUCUAUCAGCAGGGAACAAAAUGACGGUACCUGAGUAAGAAGCCCCGGCUAACUACGUC
rnacentral:rRNA from 1 species